GCCAAUUGGCAAGCCAAAGGAAUGGAAUGGAUUCUGUUCCUGCCAGGACUCUGCAUUCUUAGACUUUUCGAGAUUAAGGUUCGAAGCGAUAGAGGUAAUCCUUGGAAAGUUAAGGGCCUUAACUUGAAAGUUGAUAGUUGAUUUUGGUUUUAUAUUUGUCAAGGAUCAUAAAAGACUUUACUUUUUUGUUGUUAUGUAAACAUUGGCUAUUGAAUAAUAACUUUAAAAAUGGCAAUUGCCAUGACAACAUUUUGUUUACUUUGGAAAAAGUGCCUUUGGAAUUUGUGUCAAAUACUUUGAGUUUUUGUUUAAUUAAACGACUUUCAAAGGAUCUUAGUUUCUCUGCAUCUUAUUCUUUGAUAAACUGAGUACAUUUUAGGGAAUCAUUUACACUUUUUAAUUCAUCUUUUGAGCCAAAAAUCCUGCGGAACACUGAGGGAAAUCGAAAAGGUAAUGAGCCUCCAGGGGUUAACUUUUCCAGGAUGUAAACUUGCAGUUUCUGCAGUUUGGCCCAAAGGAUAACAAAACUUUCGCCUCUCGGAGUUGCACAAACUUUGUGCACUUUCUGCGGGCGCUGCAAAGUAUGCUAUGGAAUUGGCGAAAGGGCGGUUGCAAUUCCAGAGCCGUAAUUACAAUUUUGCCAACAACAACUCGCACACACCACUCACACACACAUUCUAGUUGUUGUUGUUUUUUUUAUAGAUCUUUAAAGUAGAUACCCAUGUCGUAUCCUUGC